AUCCAACUGACCAGUCAAAAAUAGGACGAAACGCGUGUCAAACUGGAU
rnacentral:hammerhead_ribozyme from 1 species